rnacentral:rRNA from 1 species
GGGUUGUGAGGUUAAGCGACUAAGCGUACACGGUGGAUGCCCUGGCAGUCAGAGGCGAUGAAGGACGUGCUAAUCUGCGAUAAGCGUCGGUAAGGUGAUAUGAACCGUUAUAACCGGCGAUUUCCGAAUGGGGAAACCCAGUGUGAUUCGUCACACUAUCAUUAACUGAAUCCAUAGGUUAAUGAGGCGAACCGGGGGAACUGAAACAUCUAAGUACCCCGAGGAAAAGAAAUCAACCGAGAUUCCCCCAGUAGCGGCGAGCGAACGGGGAGCAGCCCAGAGCCUGAAUCAGUGUGUGUGUUAGUGGAAGCGUCUGGAAAGGCGCGCGAUACAGGGUGACAGCCCCGUACACAAAAAUGCACAUGCUGUGAGCUCGAUGAGUAGGGCGGGACACGUGGUAUCCUGUCUGAAUAUGGGGGGACCAUCCUCCAAGGCUAAAUACUCCUGACUGACCGAUAGUGAACCAGUACCGUGAGGGAAAGGCGAAAAGAACCCCGGCGAGGGGAGUGAAAAAGAACCUGAAACCGUGUACGUACAAGCAGUGGGAGCACGCUUAGGCGUGUGACUGCGUACCUUUUGUAUAAUGGGUCAGCGACUUAUAUUCUGUAGCAAGGUUAACCGAAUAGGGGAGCCGAAGGGAAACCGAGUCUUAACUGGGCGUUAAGUUGCAGGGUAUAGACCCGAAACCCGGUGAUCUAGCCAUGGGCAGGUUGAAGGUUGGGUAACACUAACUGGAGGACCGAACCGACUAAUGUUGAAAAAUUAGCGGAUGACUUGUGGCUGGGGGUGAAAGGCCAAUCAAACCGGGAGAUAGCUGGUUCUCCCCGAAAGCUAUUUAGGUAGCGCCUCGUGAAUUCAUCUCCGGGGGUAGAGCACUGUUUCGGCAAGGGGGUCAUCCCGACUUACCAACCCGAUGCAAACUGCGAAUACCGGAGAAUGUUAUCACGGGAGACACACGGCGGGUGCUAACGUCCGUCGUGAAGAGGGAAACAACCCAGACCGCCAGCUAAGGUCCCAAAGUCAUGGUUAAGUGGGAAACGAUGUGGGAAGGCCCAGACAGCCAGGAUGUUGGCUUAGAAGCAGCCAUCAUUUAAAGAAAGCGUAAUAGCUCACUGGUCGAGUCGGCCUGCGCGGAAGAUGUAACGGGGCUAAACCAUGCACCGAAGCUGCGGCAGCGACGCUUAUGCGUUGUUGGGUAGGGGAGCGUUCUGUAAGCCUGUGAAGGUGUACUGUGAGGUAUGCUGGAGGUAUCAGAAGUGCGAAUGCUGACAUAAGUAACGAUAAAGCGGGUGAAAAGCCCGCUCGCCGGAAGACCAAGGGUUCCUGUCCAACGUUAAUCGGGGCAGGGUGAGUCGACCCCUAAGGCGAGGCCGAAAGGCGUAGUCGAUGGGAAACAGGUUAAUAUUCCUGUACUUGGUGUUACUGCGAAGGGGGGACGGAGAAGGCUAUGUUGGCCGGGCGACGGUUGUCCCGGUUUAAGCGUGUAGGCUGGUUUUCCAGGCAAAUCCGGAAAAUCAAGGCUGAGGCGUGAUGACGAGGCACUACGGUGCUGAAGCAACAAAUGCCCUGCUUCCAGGAAAAGCCUCUAAGCAUCAGGUAACAUCAAAUCGUACCCCAAACCGACACAGGUGGUCAGGUAGAGAAUACCAAGGCGCUUGAGAGAACUCGGGUGAAGGAACUAGGCAAAAUGGUGCCGUAACUUCGGGAGAAGGCACGCUGAUAUGUAGGUGAAGUGAUUUACUCAUGGAGCUGAAAUCAGUCGAAGAUACCAGCUGGCUGCAACUGUUUAUUAAAAACACAGCACUGUGCAAACACGAAAGUGGACGUAUACGGUGUGACGCCUGCCCGGUGCCGGAAGGUUAAUUGAUGGGGUUAGCGCAAGCGAAGCUCUUGAUCGAAGCCCCGGUAAACGGCGGCCGUAACUAUAACGGUCCUAAGGUAGCGAAAUUCCUUGUCGGGUAAGUUCCGACCUGCACGAAUGGCGUAAUGAUGGCCAGGCUGUCUCCACCCGAGACUCAGUGAAAUUGAACUCGCUGUGAAGAUGCAGUGUACCCGCGGCAAGACGGAAAGACCCCGUGAACCUUUACUAUAGCUUGACACUGAACAUUGAGCCUUGAUGUGUAGGAUAGGUGGGAGGCUUUGAAGUGUGGACGCCAGUCUGCAUGGAGCCGACCUUGAAAUACCACCCUUUAAUGUUUGAUGUUCUAACGUUGACCCGUAAUCCGGGUUGCGGACAGUGUCUGGUGGGUAGUUUGACUGGGGCGGUCUCCUCCUAAAGAGUAACGGAGGAGCACGAAGGUUGGCUAAUCCUGGUCGGACAUCAGGAGGUUAGUGCAAUGGCAUAAGCCAGCUUGACUGCGAGCGUGACGGCGCGAGCAGGUGCGAAAGCAGGUCAUAGUGAUCCGGUGGUUCUGAAUGGAAGGGCCAUCGCUCAACGGAUAAAAGGUACUCCGGGGAUAACAGGCUGAUACCGCCCAAGAGUUCAUAUCGACGGCGGUGUUUGGCACCUCGAUGUCGGCUCAUCACAUCCUGGGGCUGAAGUAGGUCCCAAGGGUAUGGCUGUUCGCCAUUUAAAGUGGUACGCGAGCUGGGUUUAGAACGUCGUGAGACAGUUCGGUCCCUAUCUGCCGUGGGCGCUGGAGAACUGAGGGGGGCUGCUCCUAGUACGAGAGGACCGGAGUGGACGCAUCACUGGUGUUCGGGUUGUCAUGCCAAUGGCACUGCCCGGUAGCUAAAUGCGGAAGAGAUAAGUGCUGAAAGCAUCUAAGCACGAAACUUGCCCCGAGAUGAGUUCUCCCUGACUCCUUGAGAGUCCUGAAGGAACGUUGAAGACGACGACGUUGAUAGGCCGGGUGUGUAAGCGCAGCGAUGCGUUGAGCUAACCGGUACUAAUGAACCGUGAGGCUUAACCUUACAACGCCGAAGCUGUU